AACGAACGCUGGCGGCGUGCCUAAUACAUGCAAGUCGAACGAGAGGAUGGGGUAACCCAUUAGUAAAGUGGCAGACGGGUGAGUAAUACAUAAGUAACUUACCUUUUAGUUGGGGAUAACCUUCCGAAAGGAGGGCUAAUACCGAAUAAGACCACAAGAACUACGGUUCUAGGGGUUAAAGGUGGCUUCGGCUAUCGCUAAAAGAUGGGCUUAUGCACCAUCAGGUAGUUGGUAAGGUAACGGCUUACCAAGCCUAUGACGGUUAACUGAUCUGAGAGGUUGAUCAGUCACACUGGAACUGAGACACGGUCCAGACUCCUACGGGAGGCAGCAGUAGGGAAUAUUGCGCAAUGGAGGAAACUCUGACGCAGCGACGCCGCGUGGGUGAUGAAGGCUUUCGGGUCGUAAAGCCCUGUCGGAGGAGAAGAAAACGGUAUGGCUAAUAUCCAUACCGCUUGACGGUAUCCUUAAAGGAAGCACCGGCUAACUACGUGCCAGCAGCCGCGGUAAUGUCGUCAU
rnacentral:rRNA from 1 species